rnacentral:rRNA from 1 species
AACCGGGUGAACUGAAACAUCUAAGUAAUCCGAGGAAAAGAACGUAACAACGAUACCCUAAGUAGCGGCGAGCGAACGGGGUAGAGCCUAAACCGUAUUCAUGUCAAGGAUGCAGCCGUUGUGGAUAUGGGGUAGCGGGAAAGAGAGAGAAAGAACUGCAAGCUAUUUCGCAGACGUAAGCAAAGGAACAAGAAAGAUCUGGAAAGGUCUACCGUAGAAGGUGAAAGUCCUGUAUUGGUAGUUUUCUUGCGCUGU